rnacentral:lncRNA from 1 species
CCAACUCAACAUGAUUAGAAAAAUCAACACAAAAAUAAAAAUGGAAGCCCAAUCUUAACUCAAUUAUUGUUUUAAAAGAAAUGCAGACCUAAACAUCAGCCAGAGCGGACUCAUUAUGAAUCAUUUGUCAUGAGCUCAACUUAGAAAAAUAAAUCAAAUUAAAAUUAAAAUCUUUGAAGCAUAAAAAACCAGGAAACUUUUAGGUUUGCAAUGGGGAAGAAUUUCAACCUGGAUUUUUAAUCCUCAUUAAGAAUAAAGCCAGUACAAAAUUUUCAGAUUUACCUUUCGCCCUGCAAAACUUAUCGGAACUAGCUUUUUGUCCAUUCUUAGUAAAAUCAGCAGACACAGAAAAUUUUUAGGUCGCUUCUCUAAUUGGUACCAAAAUUUGCAUCGGCAAUAGGAGUUGAGAAAAAAUUCGUUUACUUGGGGAAUAGGACAUGAGAGAGCUUGGUAUCUUUAGAAUAAAAACUUCGAUAGUCGAAAUCCUGAAAAACAAUAGACCCAUCAAUGGUGGUCGGGGGUAUUAUCGGCAUAAAUACUCUAAUGAUGAAGUCAAAUAUCGAGAGUGACAAGAUAUCAAAU